rnacentral:rRNA from 1 species
UACGUAGGGUGCAAGCGUUGUCCGGAAUUAUUGGGCGUAAAGGGCUCGUAGGCGGUUUGUCGCGUCGGGAGUGAAAUCCACUGGCUUAACUGGUGGCUUGCUUUCGAUACGGGCAGACUGGAGGUAUGCAGGGGAGAACGGAACUCCAGGUGUAGCGGUGAAAUGCGUAGAUAUCUGGAGGAACACCGGUGGCGAAGGCGGCAUCCUGGACCAAUAUUGACGCUGAGGAGCGAAAGCCAGGGGAGCAAACGGG